rnacentral:lncRNA from 1 species
GAAAAUUACAAGGGGGAGAGACGGGUCAAAAGAAAGAAAAAGAAAAGGGGAGAUGGCGUUGGCCAAGAGGGCGAUUACAAGGAAUCCCACUGCCCCGAAACUAUGAACCGGGAUAAGGAGGAAAGAAGAACGGGAAAGAAGGGGGGAACAAAGAGAGAAACUGUACCCCGUCUUUUGAGAGAGGUCGAAGGAAGUAUAGAAGGAAGUGUAGAAGACGAUGUCUGAAGAAGCAAAGAGAAUCAUAACAAAGGUAUGAUUCCUUUUGUCGACCCGCAACAUUGGUAAAAACUCCUAGCUCUCUUUGUUCUUUCCAUAAUUGCUUUGUAUCAAUCUUCUUAUUACUUUCAAUUUUAUACAUUGGGUGUGUUGAUCAAAUUAUCAUGUUUAAGGGUUUGGGAAAAAUGGUCAAUUCUUGUUUAUUGUUGACAUAAUUGAAAUUAAAGUUAUAAAUAUGAUUGAAUUGUAUAAAAGUAUUUUGAAGUUACGUUUUGGAUUAGAAGAAUUUGGUUCUAAGUUGCAGGAACUUAUGUGUCUGCAGAGAAAAGCUAUGUUUCAGUAGCUUACUUUGGCUCUUGAUUUCUAUGUCCUAAUGGAUUCCUUUUGAUCCAUUAUUAUGUGUUUUGAAACUAGACAUGUCAAUGAUCAAAGCCCAUCUGAUUUCACAUAAUUCUGUUGAGUUUUGAUAUGUCAAAACCAUGUACAAAUUUGAGUCACAAAGCUGCCAGACAGCAGCAAAUACUGGAUUUCCAGUUUCGUGGUUCUAUUAUGUAUCUUGCAUAACUUUCAAAUCGGAACCCCAUUUCUUACAAAUCUUAGAUGUUUUUAAUGUACUCAAAACAAGCUUCGAAUCUCAUGUAAGUUUACAUCAUUUGGUGUAGUUAUGGGUGUUCAAAUCGAGCUUAAUCUUGAUUGACUAAGACUGUUUUUUUGCAACUUUUGUGGAGAUGAGGCUGUUGCUUUUGCAAUAUCAUUUCUUCUUACAACUUAAUUCUAAUUUACUUAUCUAUUUUGAGUUUGUGCUAAAACCACUUGAUAAGGUUACGUAUUGGGUUCCAAAAGAACCACUUUCUUAUAUAAUUAUGUGCCAACGUAUUUAUGUAUUCUUUACCUAUUCAGGUUGCGUAUACACAUAUUUGUAUAUUCAUGCAUAAGCAUGCAAGUUCUUGAACUACACCAAAAUAACCUUUACGUUCGCAAUUCUUUUUCAUAUGUUGCUAUGGCUGUUGGGUAGUUCCAACUUUACCGAUCAAAGCAUUUCUUUAAAGUCAGAAACAAUGAAUAUUAUAUAGGUGUGUAUUAUAUGAUUCCAUCCCUUGGCUUAUAAGAUAAAUCUGAGUAAAGCUGUGAUAUGAUUGUAAGCUCAAUUACUUUAUUGUGUUGGUGCAUUUUUAUACCUAUUGAAACACAUCAUUACUAAUGGUCCAGAAUUAUUCCUUCAUGUGUAUUUACAAAGAUUUAUUUUGGAUGAACCAAAUAGGGCAUUGAAUUUGGAUACUGUUACAUUAGUAAUCCAAAGUACUGUCAUUAGGAUUAAAAUUCAAGUCAUGCAUAUAGUAGUAUCUUGCAUUUGUGAAACAGAAUUUGGCCACGAUGGUGGAUCCUUGUGUUAGUAACUAAGAGCAAUGCUUAGGAAUCCAUGUAAGUGAAAUACGACAUACCUUUAUGGAGAUGAUGAGGUUUAGAUAUACCUGGUACAUUUAGUAGGUACCAUAUGCUUGCUUGGAUUCCGUUGAGUGAUGGUCUAGAAUUCCUUUUACUCCGGAUUUCGUUGAGAGAUGGUCUGGAAUCCCUUCUACUCUACGAUUUCGUUGAGUGAUGUUCCGGAAUCGUAUCUAACUUGGGUUUCACUUAGUGGUGGUUGUGCAUUGUGCUCAGCGAUUCCGUUGAGUGAUGGUCCGGAAUCGUAUCCACUCGGAUUCCGUUGAGAGAUGAUCCGAAAUCCCUCAUACUCCGUGAUUCCGUUGAGUGAUGGUCUGUAAUCAUAUCUUGAUUUGGAGUCCGUUGAGUAGUCCGGAAUCCCUACUCUUGCUCAUUUCCAUAAGUUAGAUUUGUUCCCUGGAUUCGAGUGAAUGAGAUUUACCCACAAUAGAUCUUAUGAAUAUAAAUUAGAAUUAUCAAGUUAUUACUUGAAAUUCAGGCAGGGAAUUAUGUAGAAGUUCUUUAUUAAUUUUUGUGCAUUGAGGUGUGAUCUGAUUGACUGAUUAGCAUAAUUAAAUGUUAAUAUCGUGCCUCCUUGAUAUCAUGGAAUGGGUUACUUGAGAUGAUUAUGGAAGGAUGUUGAAGUUAUUAACAUGAUUAGAUUAGUGAUUAAUGCGACUAGAGGAUACUAUUGUGCUAUGUUGAUUCUUUGAUAUAUUACAUGAUAUGAAUAGCGAUUUUAUGUUGAAGCAUAAUGAUUUAUAUGAUGGAUGAAAUAGAAACCUUGAAUGUCAUGUGGGUUUGUUUUGUAGCCAAGAAUCUAGUAAUUCAUGCUUGUUAAGUUCUAAUAAUUGAUUGAGGAAUACUAUACUUUUCGAUUUGAAUGUACUGUGAUAAACGUCCCAAUGUAAUGAAAAGUUGAACUAUGAAUGGGUUGAUCCUUAUUGAGGGUACGUAGGCAGUUUAACGAAGAGAUUAGAUGGAGCCAUAAAGUAUAUGCAAAAUUAUUAUGCAUCUGGAUCUUGAAUUAUAUUUUGUACAUAUCAAAAAGGCGAUGUAUGUUGAGUUACGGGCAUUUAGGGACGUCACGUGUCUAUCUUGGACGUAUGUCGGGAUCAGGGCUUGACACUUUAUGUGCUUAGGUGCGUUUAUUAGCGGCGAUUCCGUUCUUCCUACUUCAUAUGGCUCUUCGUUGGUGAAGUAUCUGUGAGUGGACCCCUUCUAAAAUGCAUGUUUUAAUAGUAGAAUUGCAUACAUGAAAAGCAUGAUUUAAUGACUGUGUUUUAUGAUAUAUUAUGCUUACUGAGAAUAGUUUGAAUUAUCAUAUUUUAUCGAACUGAUGUUCUUUGUAGUAUAUAUGAUGGAUGACUAUAUACUAUUUAGAACAUGCUUUUACACACUUCUUUAUAGUAUAGAUAAUGGAUGACUUUAUACUAUGAAGAUGUUUUGAGAUUUAUAUAUAUACCUACGUUUGGAAAGAUUAUGUUCAAUGUUUUGUGUAUCUAGUGGUCACUAUACCUCCACGGGCAAGGAUUAUGGUUGUUGGCUGCGGCUCGGAAGAAAUAAUCUUUAGCUUCGGGCUGAGAGACAUGGAGCAAGCAUAGGGCCUGGAGAAAUAAUCUCUGGCUUCGGGCGUAGAGACAAGGAAGCUGGCAUGAGACCGAGAGUUAUUGAUAUUUGAUACCAUUAUUUAGCACACUAUAUACGAGAUAUGUGACUUGGAAAGAUUUUAUGGCAUGCUAGGGUUUUCGGAAAACCUAUCACAUAUUAUGUUAUUAGUUUUCAUAAAACUUUGGGGGUUAGUACGUUGAAUAGCUGUUUCAGUAGUAUAUAUAUAUAUAUAUAUCAACUUGGUCCACUCAUGUUUUGUUUUGCGCCCCCUUUAGGACUUAGAAUUGAGGUGUACAAUCCCGGCGUCGAAGCACUUCCACAUCGCCAUUUUCGAGUCCUCUCGGUGUACAACCCAUUUCUUUACUGUAGAGAAGUCAAUGAUAUCAUUCCUGAUAUCUUGGCUUAGUUUAGGUAACAUUUUUGUAAUUGAUUUGUAUAAAGUUUAGUUUCCUGUUGUAUACCUAGAAAGUAGGGUAAUUUACUUCUAAGUCAAGUAUUCUUCUUUGUAUAAAUCUCCUUGUUUCAAAAGAAGAAAAAUACUUCCGCAAAUCAUAUUUUUGCUCUAUUCUUUACAUGGUAUCAAGAGCUGGGUCGAAACCCUAGUUUUUGCCGCUACCCUUUCUUUCUAUUUUUCAAUAGCCAUCUUCCGUCAACCAUCAUGGCCACUGACGAAAUUCCCAAAGGUUUUGCGGCUGACGUCAAAACUGAUGUUUCAAAUCCUUUGUUUAUUCAUCAUUCAGAUCACUCAUCUAUGAUGCUGGUUUCGAAGCCCCUUAAUGGGGACAACUACUCUACCUGGUCUCGUGCAAUGAGAAUCUCCCUUAGUGCCAAAAAACAAGCUAGGUUUUAUUGAUGGUACUGUUACACAGCCUUCCGAGAAAACCAAACCUGCUGAUCAUGCUACAUGGCAGAGAUGCAAUGACAUGAUCGUUGUAUGGAUUAUCAACUCCAUUGAUUCAGAAAUUUCAGACAAUAUUCUUUACAUGACUGAUGCUCAUGCAAUCUGGGAGGAGUUGCGUGAGCGUUAUUCUCAAAGCAAUGUUCCUCGGAUUUUCCAAUUACAACGGGACAUUGCUUCUCUUACUUAAGACCAACUUUCAGUUGCUGCGUACUACACUAAGCUGAAGAAAUUAUGGGAUGAACUGGCGUCAUACAAUGACUCCACUUCCUGCACAUGUGGAGCGCAAAAUGAAAGAAAUAAAUUAAUACAGUUCCUUAUGGGUCUCAACGAGUCCUAUAGUGCCAUUCGAGGGCAAGUCUUGUUGAUGAACCCUUUACCAACUGUUCGUCAGGCCCAUGCUUCAAUUUCCUAGGAAAAGAAGCAAAGAUCUCUUACUGCUUCACGUGGAGUCACCAAGACAGCAGCUAUGGCUGUUCGAUAAGGUGGUUCACGGUGAUCUGGAUCUUCAAGUCGUAAGCCCUUGCAUUGUACUCAUUGUGAUCAUGACUAUCACACCAUUGAUACUUGUUACCAACUUCACGGGUAUCCACUGGGGCAUCGUCUUCACAAAGUCAAGCCUCAAAAAAGAAGCAAGUCUUCUAAAAAGGAAGGCAAUUCUUCUUCGUCUGCAAAUCAAGUUUCAACAGGUGCAACUUUGGAAGAGAUGAGGUCGGUGAUGUCCAGGUUAUCUGACACUCAAUUCCAGCAAAUCCUUGACAUCAUGAAUAAUAAAGGAGUUGAUGUCUCCGUUCCUCCAAAAGCUAAUGCCACUGCCAUAAAGACAGGUUUGUCGAAAUCUUUUUUGCAUUUACGUCGAUGGAUAAUUGACAAUGGUGCAACAGAUCAUAUAACCUCCUCACCUGAUUUGCUUACUGAUGGUGUCAAAAACACCAAUUUGUCACCAGUUUUAUUACCAAGUGGAGAGCAAGCUCGCAUAGUCUCCACUGGGACAAUUCUUUUGAGUUCCACUUUUUUGUUACGAGAUGUGUUGUGUGUGCCCUCUUUUCAAGUAUAUUUGAUGUCUGUGAGUCGAAUUACAAGUGGAUUGCAUUGUUCUGUAACCUUUUUUCCCUUCAUGGUGUCUUAUGCAGGACUUGACGACGAAGAAGGUGAUUGGUUUAGGUAAGCAACGUGGAGGACUUUACUACUUGGUAACGUUGAUUCCCACCGUCUCUGGUAGCUCUCGCCAAGUUUGCAACCUUGUUCUCUCACCUACAGAGUUGUGGCAUCGGCGUUUGGGUCAUUUAUCUCCUUCUAGGCUCGAUUUCAUGUCAAAACACCUGUUGCAUUUUCCUUUUCAAUCCAAUAAUGCUUGUAAUGUUUGUCCUUUAGCCAAGCAAAGUCGUUUACCUUUUAGUAUCAGUUCCAUUACAACCACAAAACCUUUUGAUUUGAUCCAUUGUGAUAUUUGGGGUCCUUACGCAGUUGCAUCAACUUCUGGAGCCAAGUAUUUCUUAACUAUUGUGGAUGAUUAUUCUCGUUUCACAUGGAUAUUUUUUAUGCAACACAAAUCAGAAACACAGCACAUCCUCAAGGGUUUUUUCUCUUUUGUUCAAACUCAGUUUAAUACAUCCAUUCGCCAAAUACGAGUGGACAAUGGUAGAUAAUUUUUUUCUCUUCAUGGUUUCUUCCAAGAUCAUGGGGUCCUUUAUCAACGCUCUUGUGUCUAUACACCCCAACAAAAUGGGGUCGUCGAGCGCAAGCAUCGUCACAUACUUGAAAUUGCUCGUGCUUUGCGUUUCCAAGCUAACCUUCCUAUUACUUUUUGGGGGGAAUGUGUCCUUACGGCUGUCCAUAUUAUUAAUCGUCUUCCUACCCUCAUUCUUUCCAAAAAUACUCCUUUUGAACAAUUGUACUAAAACCACCUUCAUUUUCCCACCUUAAAGUCUUCGGUUGUCUUGCUUAUGCCACCAACACCCAUAUCUCUCACAAGUUUGCUCCCCGAGCCCACAAAUUUGUCUUCCUUGGCUACACGUUGGUUAAAAAGCGUACAAACUUUACAACUUUACCACUCAUACUUUUUUUACUAGCAGGGAUGUUGUUUUUCAUGAACAUAUUUUUCCUUACCAUUCUUCUCCAUCCUCUACUUCACCUAACCCUACGCCACUACCUAUCGUCUUUCCUCACCCUACACCCUCUUUACCUGAGCCUCAAGCUACUACACCUUCUACCUCACCCGUGUCUACUGAUACUCCUACCACUUUUUUUUCGCCCGAGAUUUCAACUGAUUCUGACCUACACCCUGAUGCAUCUUCUCUCGAGCCUGCUGCCUCCCUGCCUCCUGCACCACCUGCACCGAUGCUUCGCCGAUCUAGCCGCCACUCCUCACCGCCUCCAAGGUUGCGAGAUUAUGACUGCCCCACUCUUAAGCUUACCCAACCUGAUCCUCCAUCGUCUUCAUUGUCUGGUCAUGCUAAUAGUACGCGUUAUCCACUUGCUAAUUAUCUCACUUAUCAUCGUUUCUCACUUGCACAACAAUCUUUUCUUGCAACUAUCACUCAACAGGUUAAGCCCCAGACUUAUGCCGAGGCUGCUGCUUCCUCUCAUUGGCAGGUUGCCAUGACUUCUGAACUACAGGCUCUCGAAGCUAAUCACACAUGGACUCUCACUUCUCUUCCGACUGGUAAAUCUCCCAUUGGUUGUCAAUGAGUCUAUAAAAUCAAGCUUCAUUCUGAUGGAUCCAUUGAGCAUUAUAAAGCUCGUUUGGUUGCCAAGGGUUACACACAACUUGAAGGGAUUGACUUUCAUGAUACUUUCUCUCCCACUGCUAAGAUGACAACUGUUCGCUGCCUCUUAGCUCUUGCUGCUUCCUGUUCCUGGUCUCUUCAUCAACUUGAUGUCAACAAUACGUUUCUUCAUGGUGAUCUUCAUGAAGAAAUCUAUAUGCUUCCUCCUCCCGGUCUUCGGCGAUAGGGGAGAAUUUGGUAUGUCGCCUUAACAAAUCCUUAUAUGGACUGAAGCAAGCAUCCCGGUAAUGGUUUGCCAAGUUUUCUGAGUCUAUUCACUGUGCUGGUUAUGUUCAAUCAAAGGCUGAUUACUCUUUGUUCACAAGGCAGCAAGGCAAGUCUUUUAUAGCUCUUUUAAUUUAUGUUGAUGAUAUUCUGAUCACUGGAAAUUAUCCUAAUGCCAUUAGGGAUCUCAAAAAUUUCUCAAUAGUCGUUUCAAAAUCAAGGACCUUGGUGACUUGAAAUACUUUCUAGGCAUCGAAGUGUCACGAUCAAAGAAUGGGAUUUUCAUUUCUCAACGUAAGUAUGCUUUAGAGAUUCUGAAGGAUGGUGGUCUUUUGGGAACUCGUCCAAUCGAGUUUCCUAUGGAGCUGAAUCUUAAACUUUCUGACAAUGGUGAGUUACUUAAAGAUCCGGCACAGUAUAGGAGGUUGGUGGGUCGAUUGAUCUAUUUAACAAUUACUAGGCCGGAUAUCACAUAUUCGGUGCAUGUGCUAAGUAGGUUUAUGCAUGAACCUCGCCGUCCACACAUGGAAGUAGCUCUCCGAGUUUUGAAAUACAUAAAGAUUACUCCUGGACAAGGUUUAUUUUUCUCUUCUAAAAAUGACUUGACCUUGAAUGCAUACUGUGAUUCAGAUUGGGCAGGAUGUUCUAUGACACAAAGAUCAACCACAGGGUAUUGCGUGUUUUUGGGUUCUUCAUUGGUUUCUUGGAGAUCAAAGAGACAAAAAACCGUAUCUUUAUCUUUCAUCAUCUGAGCUGAGGCCGAGUAUAGAGCCAUGACUGGAACUUGUUGUGAACUAUCAUGGCUUCGAUAUCUUCUAAAGGACUUGGGAUUGUUGCAUCCAAAACCGGCCUUAUUACAUUGUGACAACAAAGCAGCUCUUCAUAUUGCUGCCAAUCCAGUUUUCCAUGAGCGGACUAGACAUAUAGAGAUGGAUUGCCAUUUUGUUCGAGAUAAAAUACAAGAUGGUUCUAUUGUUACGCGAUUUGUUCCUUCUUCACAACAACUUGCAGAUGUGUUCACGAAGGCAUUGGGAAAGGAAUCUUUCUUGUCCAUUAUACACAAGUUGGGAGUUCUUGACAUCCACUCUCCAACUUGAGGGGGAGUGUAGAGAAGUCAAUGAUAUCAUUCCUGAUAUCUUGGCUUAGUUUAGGAAACAUUUUUGUAAUUGAUUUGUAUAAAGUUUAGUUUCCUGUUGUAUACCUAGAAAGUAGGGUAAUUUACUUCCAAGUCAAGUAUUCUUCUUUGUAUAAAUCUCCUUGUUUCAAUAGAAGAAAAAUACUUCCGCAAAUCAUAUUUUUGCUCUAUUCUUUACAUUUACUCAUUCAAUUUUAUAUAUUUUUUUAGUAUUUUAGUUAGUUGUAUGCUCUGAACACGUUCCUCAUUUGCAUAUUAAUUAUAUUUAAAUUUACAAGUCUUAUUUAUUUCUUGUUCUCAUGCAUUCUAGUAUAGCUUCGUCACCUUCGAGUGUCGGCCAGCACGUGCCUACCCUGAUGUCUGGGGAAUAUUAGGAUCAGGCGUGUCAUUGGAUCUUGUUGAUUUGGUAUUUAUUUGGAUGUGGUAUUUUUGUUCAACUGGUAUUUGACUGACUCAGUGACAGUAAUUCAGUUGCCUAUUUUUACUUUCACCUUGAUUACCGAUUGCGAAGUGAUUUUCACCACCCUCGUUUUAUAGAACAGAGAAUAAAAGUAAAGGGAGGUAUCAGAAGGAGAAACUGGGAGUGUGAAAAUCACUACCCUUACUGAUUAAGUUUCAUUCAAACUUCUCAACUGCCAAAUGGACCUUGUUAAUCGUCAGGUAACUGUGCAUUGAUCUUAACUAAACAUGGAAUUAAGUAAUCUUAACUAUAUGUCUAUGUUGUGAAAUUAUUGGAUUGAAGUUAAAAGGCUAGAAAAUGAGUUCUUGGUUAAUACAAGUAAUAAGGAAGGGAAACGAAAUGAUCAAACAAUUUUGGUAAUUACAGAAUCAAGAGCCUGCAUCAUUAACAACUAACGAGCUUCAAAUGCAGUUAUUGUCAAGCCGUUCAUAGAAUCUGAUCCUUUCGGAAUUAAUGGAUCAGCAUCAUCACAAGAACUUUUUCUGAAGACAAAUGCAGGCUGUUUAGGAGAUGGUGGAGAUGUUUCACCACUCAACAUGAAAACAACGGUUGACAUUGGUCGGUCCUUCGAAUCUUCUUCCACGCACAAGAGCCCAACUUGAAUGCAUCGCAUUACUUCAUCCGACGGAAAUGACUCUAGUGACGAAUCCACAAUUUCUAAGGGUCUGCCUUCUCUCCACAGCUGAUCAUUUUAAACAAAGGGUAGAUUUUAAAUAAAUUUUAGCAGAAAUUCUGUUACUUACAUUUCCUAUCAAGUUUAUGGAAUGAUCAUCCUGAUAAACACCGUUGUUUUUCUUGCUGCUUAUAAUCUCCAAUAAUAUGAUCC